CAUUGGAUUAGAUAUUGAAUAAGUCUAUAUUUAACUUUUUUUUAUGUUAUUUUCUUUUUUAAACAUGUAUCGAAUAAAGCUUGGUGUCAUUGAUGAUUCUGAUUGUGCAUGUUAUGUAGUCUUUGACAAGGAGGCAAAACAAGUUUUGGGAAAGAGCUGUGUAGAGAUACUUGAUCCACUCCUAUUGGAUGUUGACUACACCGAUGGUUUGCUUCCAAUUUCAAAGACAUCCUCAAUCAUUGAAGGGGAGAAAGUAGAAGGUGCUAAAAAUUUGUUGCUUGAAUU